rnacentral:rRNA from 1 species
AGUCAAUAGAUACCCAGGUAGUCCACGCCCUAAACGAUGUCGACUGGUUGUUGGGGGUUUGACACUCUCAGUAAACGAAAGCUAAACGCGUGAAGUCGACCGCCUGGGGAGUACGGCCGCAAGGUUAAAACUCAAAGGAAUUGACGGGGACCCGCACAAGCGGUGGAUUAUGUGGAUUAAUUCGAUGCAACGCGAAAAACCUUACCUACCCUUGACAUGUCCCGAAUCCCGGUGAGAGCCGGGGGUGCCCGAAAGGGAACGGGAACACAGGUGCUGCAUGGCUGUCGUCAGCUCGUGUCGUGAGAUGUUGGGUUAAGUCCCGCAACGAGCGCAACCCUUGUCAUUAGUUGCUACAUUCAGUUGGGCACUCUAAUGAGACUGCCGGUGACAACCGGAGGAAGGUGGGGAUGACGUCAAGUCCUCAUGGCCCUUAUGGGUAGGGCUUCACACGUAAUACAAUGGCGCGUACAGAGGGUUGCCAAGGGGUGACCUGGAGCCAAUCCCACAAAGCGCGUCGUAGUCCGGGAUUGGAGUCUGCAACUCGACUCCAUGAAGUC